ensembl:lncRNA
CUGGCAAACGAGGUCCAAACUGGGAGCAAAAGGACGGUAUGAAACACAGCCAGUCAGCUCUAGAGGGUUCAGAGAAAAAGAGAAGGAACAAUAUAUAAUAUGUAUUUAUGUAGUGUUAUAUUAUUAUUUAUUAUAUAUAUUAUAUGAUAUAUAACUUUCUUGAAAAUAAAUGACUAUUUACUUUACCAGAUUAAAAUAAAGCAAAUUAAAAGAAAUGGACACAAAUCAAUGUAACUCAUCAUAGCAACAGACUGAAUAAGAAAAAGCACAUGAUUAUGUCACCAGACGCAGAAAAGCAUUUCACGAAAUUCAACACCCAUUCGUGAUAAAGUCUCUCAAAAUAUGAACAAUCGAAGGGAACUUCCUGACCCCGUAAAGGGUUCACAUGAAAGACCCACAGCCAACAUCACACUCGUCGGUGAGAGGCUGACACCUUGCGCUCUGAGAGUGGGAACAGGGCAAGGACAUCCUCUGUCACCACUCGCCUUCUGUCCUACGGAGUGCAAUUAGAUCAGAAGAAGAAAUAAGUGGCACGUGAUUGGAAAGGAAGAGAUAAAACUGUCUUUGUUCACAGACGACACCCAGCAGCGGAGGUGUGUCUAGAGAGAGAGGUGACUUCAAGGGUUGACUUACGCAGUUGUGGGGGCUGGUCCCGGCCACACCUGCAGGGUGGGCGGGCAAACUGGAGACCCAGGGGAGCGCCGACGGUGCAGCCUGGAGCCCCAGGGCCGCCCGGAGGAGAAUCCCUCCGCUGGGGAUGGUCAGUCCUUUCCAUCAAGGUCUUCACCUGACUGGAUGAAGUCCACGCAUCAGUAAUCUGAUUACAGAGGCUGAUGGGCUCUACUCAAAGGCUGCUGACUCAAACGUUAAUCUGCCUAAAGAAUAUCUUCACAGAAAAGGGAACGCUUGUGCGCUGCUGGUGGGAAUAUAAAUUGGUACAGUCAUUAUGGGAAGUAGUUUAGAGGUUACUCAAAAAAUUAAAAAUAGAACUACGAUAGGAUCGAGCAUUCCCACUUCUGGGUAUAUAUUCAAGGGAAUGGAAACCCUCUCACAGAGAGACCUGUGUGCCAGGUUCACUGAGCCUUAUUCACAGCAGCAAAGACAGGGAAACAGCCGGAAUGUCCAUCACAGAUGAAUGCACAUACGUAUACGUAUCUCAUUUUCUUAAUUUUUCAACAAAAAAAAGAAGGAAAUCCUGCCAUUCACAACAACAUGGAUGGGCCUGGAGGACACUACGCUGAGUGAAAUAAGUCAGACACAGAAAGACAAACAGUGCAUCAUCUCACUUAUAUGUGGGUCUGAAAAGAUGGAACCAGGAGUAGAAUGGGGUUUGUCAGGGGCUGCAGGUGGAGAGACGGGAGAAGCUGGUCAAGGGUACAAGCUUCCAGUCACAAGAGCUAAAGCCAGGGACAUCUGUGAAGGAACAGACAGGACGAGGGGCAGCCACAGUGCAGCCUCGUGGCUUUGCUGCAUCCUGGGACCCAGAGAUGCGGCUCCGCAGCUCGCAGGCCCGUGACUGCGCGUGCUCGGGGAGAACAAUGGACUCCU